ensembl:lncRNA
UCCUCUUCCUGGACAUUGAUCAUGUAAAGGAUUACAGAGGUUAAAGUUCAACGUGACAAUGUUAGUAAAUGAACCACAUGUUGUGUACCGUUUCAGAUUUUAUUUCAACAGUCAACAUACAUCUACUGCUUAUCAGCUUCAUCCAAAUGUCCACAUUGUCUGUUGUAAAACUAGCUAUAUUCUGACACAGCAACAACAACCCCAUAACAGACCUACUAUCUCUCACACACGUCCACACACUGUGGGAGCUGAACCUGUCUCAGGUCUGGGUCAGGACCACUGGUCUCAGGUCAGGGUUCAGGUCUGGGUGAGGACCACUGGUGUCAGGUCAGGGUUAGGACCACUGGUCUCAGGUCAGGGAUGGGACCACUGACCUCAGGAGAAGGUUCAGGUCAGGGAUGGGACCACUGGUCUCAGGUCAGGGUUCAGGUCUGGGUCAGGACCACUGGUCUCAGGACAAGGUUCAGGUCUGGGAUGGGACCACUGUUCUCAGGACAAGGUUCAGGUCAGGGAUGGGACCACUGGUCUCAGGUCAGGGUUCAGGUCUGGGUCAGGACCACUGGUCUCAGGUCAGGGAUGGGACCACUGACCUCAGGAGAAGAUUCAGGUCAGGGAUGGGACCACUGGUCUCAGGUCAGGGUUCAGGUCUGGGCCACUGGUCUCAGGUCAGGGAUGGGACCACUGGUCUCAGGUCAGGGUUCAGGUCAGGACCACUGUUCUCAGGUCAGGGAUGGGACCACAGGGUUCAGGUCAGGGAUGGGACCACUGACCUCAGGACAGGGUUCAGGUCAGGGAUGGGACCACUGACCUCAGGACAAGGUUCAGGUCAGGGAUGGGACCACUGGUCUCAGGACAGGGAAGGGACCACUGGUCUCCAGUCAGAACUUAUUCAAAGCCUUUACCACAGGUAUCAGUCAUUACAUCAUUCCUUUACCACAGGUAUCAGUCAUUACAUCAUUCCUUUACCACAGGUAUCAGUCAUUACAUCAUUCCUUAACCACAGGUAUCAGACAUUACAUCAUUCCUUUACCACAGGUAUCAAUCAUUACAUCAUUCCUUUACCACAGGUAUCAGUCAUUACAUCAUUCCUUAACCACAGGUAUCAGACAAAACCCACAACCACACCGUUAAUAAUAUAUCAUAUUUAGCGCUUUAAUCCAAAGUGACUUACAGUCAUGCGUGCGUACAUUUUACGUCUGGGCGGGCCCCGGGAAUCGAACCUACAACCCUGGGGUACAAGCGCCAUGCUCUACCAACUGAGCUGUUCGGGAACUGUUCGGUAGCUGUUCGGUAGCUGUUCGGGAACUGUUCGGGAGCUGUUCGGUAGCUGUUCGGGAACUGUUCGGGAACUGUUCGGUAGCUGUUCGGGAACUGUUCAGUUGUUCCAGCAUCUUUUCUUGCUGCUCAAAUAAGACCUGAGAUUUGAAUUGUCAAUCAGAAGAAGACGGAGGACCAGGAGAAGCCUCUAAUUUGGAUGUGUGAGGUAUUGGAUGAUUUGACACAGGGCUAUCAAGGAUCUCUGAUCGCGUUCUUCAUAAUGCUUCAUAAAGACUUCUUAAGGUUUCAUAAAGACUUCUUAAGGCUUCAUAAAGACUUCUUAAGGCUUCAUAAAGACUUCAUAAGGCUUCAUAAAGACUUCAUAAGGCUUCAUAAAGACUUCUUAAGGCUUCAUAAAGACUUCUUAAGGCUUCAUAAAGACUUCAUAACGCUUCAUAAAGACUUCAUAAGGCUUCAUAAAGACUUCUUAAGGCUUCAUAAAGACUUCUUAAGGCUUCAUAAAGACUUCUUAAGGCUUCAUAAAGACUUCUUAAGGCUUCAUAAAGACUUCAUAAGGCUUCAUAAAGACUUCAUAAGGCUUCAUAAAGACUUCAUAAGGCUUCAUAAAGACUUCAUAAGGCUUCAUAAAGACUUCUUAAGGCUUCAUAAAGACUUCAUUAAGGCUUCAUAAAGACUUCAUAAGGCUUCAUAAAGACUUCAUAAGGCUUCAUAAAGACUUCAUAAGGCUUCAUAAAGACUUCAUAAGGCUUCAUAAAGACUUCUUAAGGCUUCAUAAAGACUUCAUAAGGCUUCAUAAAGACUUCUUAAGGCUUCAUAAAGACUUCAUAAGGCUUCAUAAAGACUUCUUAAGGCUUCAUAAAGACUUCAUAAGGCUUCAUAAAGACUUCUUAAGGCUUCAUAAAGACUUCAUAAGGCUUCAUAAAGACUUCAUAAGGCUUCAUAAAGACUUCAUAAGGCUUCAUAAAGACUUCUAAGGCUUCAUAAAGACUUCUAAGGCUUCAUAAAGACUUCAUAAGGCUUCAUAAAGACUUCAUAAGGCUUCAUAAAGACUUCAUAAGGCUUCAUAAAGACUUCAUAAGGCUUCAUAAAGACUUCAUAAGGCUUCAUAAAGACUUCAUAAGGCUUCAUAAAAGCUCCAUGAAUCCAACGUCAGGCAGACAUCUACUGCUCCUUGACGACGAUCAUCAACAUUCAGAAAUAAAUGAAAAUGAUGAACACUCAUCCAAACAAAAGACUCAGUUUGUCUCAGUCCUCUCAGAGUUCACCUCUUCAUCACAUUCAUCAUCGUCACACAGCUGCUUUCUGCUUCCAGGUCAAAGUUCAACUACAUGAAUGCCAACUGUCGCGACACAAGUACACAUAGAGCCACUUAGAUCAACUCAAGGUUCAAGUCCCUAGUGGGAUAAUAAGAUAACAAGUCUUUCCCUCAACAUAGGUCUGAUCUGAGGAGGUUAUACUCCCUAGAACGGACGUUUCCAUUCAAAUCAAUGAUUCCGUAAGGGGUUGACUGGAUGUCCCUCUCAGGACACCUCUAUGACCUCCAUGCUUCCUGAGAAGCUGCUGUGACUCCCCAUCUCCUCCCUGGAUCUAGUCUCGCCUCCUCCUCUCAUCCUGUCUCCGAGUUCCAUCUGACAGCUCCGUCUCUUCAGCUGCUUCUCCAAGGGUGCUCUCCUCGUGCCAGCUCCUCCGUGAGUCCCCGUGGUCGCCGCUCCUCUGCCGCCCGCGCCGCCGCACCUCCUCCAACCCCUGACUCACGCUGUACGCCGCCACGCUGCCACCCCCCAGAAUGUUAGCCCCGCCUCCUAAGAUGGCGGAGGUGGAGUAGAAGUGGUGUGACUCGGAGAGGUACCAUCCCCCCGACGACACGGUGACGGGACCCAAUAGGAUGUCAGAGUGCCAGCCCUUCAGGGCGGAGCCUAGGUUAGGGGCGGGCUUGGACAGGUGCUGCUGGGAACGCGAUAGGCCGAACAGGAAGCCGGUGGUGUGAGGGGUGUGGUUAGAGUUCUCCUCCAUACUGCCACUACGGUGGAGCUGCUGGGAACAGGAGAGGGGAGGUGGAGGAGGCUUAGCCUGGCUGGGCUGCUUCAUGCUGGGCUGGUUGGAGGUGGUAGUGGUGCUGGUAGUGGUGGAGACUACAGGAGCAGCAGUGGGAGCUGCAGACGUAGCAGCAGGGUCUGCGGGACCGUCGUCCUGCUCCUUGUCAGGGCUCGGCUCAGGUGUAGACUGCUCUGACAUCUCCUUCACAGGAGAGAACUGAUACGGUUUCCCUGCAGGCUCCUUGAAGCUCACGGAUGGGUUAUAAUACUCCUGGGCUCCGGGGUGGGAUGUAGGGUGGGGAUACGGCCUCAUGGGGGCGCUGCUGCAGCCUCCUGGCUCCCUGUACGACUUGAUGUCCAGAGAGAAGGACCUUUUCAGCCGUGCAGCGCUGUCCUCCGUCCCCUGGUCCAGCUGAAGGCCUUGGAGCCCCUGGAGAGCCUGGGCAGGAGCCUCUCCUCUGGAGGCCAGGGGGCCAGGACACAUGGCAGGGUCAGGGGCUCCAGCAGGGCCAGGGCAGGGUCUGGGAGGCUGGGGGUAGGGUUAGGGGGGUCGUGCUCUAGUGGGGGGUGGAGGAGAGGAGAGGAUUUGACCCCGGUGGUUUCUCUGAUCUCCGACCUUCCAGGAGUCUUGAUCUUCUUUUCAAAGUCCAGCAGCUGACCCAGGAAGUUGAAGUUAGGAGAGAUGGUGGGUCUCUUCUCCUUCACGAACCUGGAGAGGAAAGACAGAAACACACAGGACAUCAGUAGAGACGCUGUAACACACUGGGUUGUUAUAGAGUUGGGAAAACCUAGAGGGUCAAGACAGGGGACAUUUAUAACUGUAACACAGGACAUCAGUAGAGACGCUGUAACACACUGGGUUGUUAUAGAGUUGGGAAAACCUAGAGGGUCAAUACAGGGGACAUUUAUAACUGUAACACAGGACAUCAGUAGAGACGCUGUAACACACUGGGUUGUUAUAGAGUUGGGAAAACCUAGAGGGUCAAUACAGGGGACAUUUAUAACUGUAACACAGGACAUCAGUAGAGACGCUGUAACACACUGGGUUGUUAUAGAGUUGGGAAAACCUAGAGGGUCAAGACAGGGGACAUUUAUAACUGUAACACAGGACAUCAGUAGAGACGCUGUAACACACUGGGUUGUUAUAGAGUUGGGAAAACCUAGAGGGUCAAGACAGGGGACAUUUAUAACUGUAACACAGGACAUCAGUAGAGACGCUGUAACACACUGGGUUGUUAUAGAGUUGGGAAACCUAGAGGGUCAAGACAGGGGACAUUUAUAACUGUAACACAGGACAUCAGUAGAGACGCUGUAACACACUGGGUUGUUAUAGAGUUGGGAAAACCUAGAGGGUCAAGACAGGGGACAUUUAUAACUGUAACACAGGACAUCAGUAGAGACGCUGUAACACACUGGGUUGUUAUAGAGUUGGGAAAACCUAGAGGGUCAAGACAGGGGACAUUUAUAACUGUAACACAGGACAUCAGUAGAGACGCUGUAACACACUGGGUUGUUAUAGAGUUGGGAAAACCUAGAGGGUCAAGACAGGGGACAUUUAUAACUGUAACACAGGACAUCAGUAGAGACGCUGUAACACACUGGGUUGUUAUAGAGUUGGGAAAACUAGAGGGUCAAUACAGGGGACAUUUAUAACUGUAACACAGGACAUCAGUAGAGACGCUGUAACACACUGGGUUGUUAUAGAGUUGGGAAAACCUAGAGGGUCAAGACAGGGGACAUUUAUAACUGUAACACAGGACAUCAGUAGAGACGCUGUAACACACUGGGUUGUUAUAGAGUUGGGAAAACCUAGAGGGUCAAUACAGGGGACAUUUAUAACUGUAACACAGGACAUCAGUAGAGACGCUGUACACACUGGGUUGUUAUAGAGUUGGGAAACCUAGAGGGUCAAUACAGGGGACAUUUAUAACUGUAACACAGGACAUCAGUAGAGACGCUGUAACACACUGGGUUGUUAUAGAGUUGGGAAAACCUAGAGGGUCAAUACAGGGGACAUUUAUAACUGUAACACAGGACAUCAGUAGAGAUGCUGCUGAGGUUACCAUCCCAGCCAUCAUUACAGCCCCCCACAGUGCAGUGUGUUCAUUCAGGAGAACAAGCU